rnacentral:rRNA from 1 species
ACGGAAGGCAGCAGUGAGGAAUAUUGGUCAAUGGGCGAGAGCCUGAACCAGCCAUGUCGCGUGGAGGAAUAAGGCCCUAUGGUUCGUAAACUCCUUUUGCGGGGGGAUAAAGUGCGGGACGUGUCCCGUAUUGCAGGUACCCCGCGAAUAAGUAUCGGCUAAUUCCGUGCCAGCAGCCGCGGUAAUACGGAGGAUGCGAGCGUUAUCCGGAUUUAUUGGGUUUAAAGGGUGCGUAGGCGGCCCCUUAAGUCGGCGGUGAAAUGUCCGGGCUCAACCCGGUCAAUGCCGUCGAAACUGGGGGGCUUGAGUGCGUUUGGAGUGGGUGGAAUGUGCGGUGUAGCGGUGAAAUGCAUAGAUAUCGAACAGAACGCCGAUCGCGGAGUCAGGUCACCAAGCCGCAACUGACGCUGAGGAAAGAAAGCGCGGGGAUCGAACAGGAUUAGAUACCCUGGUA